rnacentral:lncRNA from 1 species
UGGUCCCCUUCAGCCAGACUCGCUUCUCUAGCUGCUUUUCUUAGAACACAUGCAAUUCUCUCAAUUUCUGGAUUAAAUGGUAGUAAUGAUGAUCAUGAACUGCGUAUACACAAAAAAAAAUACCUCAGUAGCACUAUGAUAAAAAAACACAAACAAAUUAAAACUAAGAAAAAUAAAAAUACAUUGCAUAAAACAAUGUUGAAUAUCAACAUUCCCCGACAACAGCGUCGAAAAUUUGAUAACUUCUCGGCAAGUGUAUCGAUAGUGUCGUAGUAAAAAAAAUCGAAUCCACAUGGAUUGUGUUCGAACAAGCCAACAAUUGUGCAAA